UCGGCUACGAGGACGAACGCUGGCGGCAUGCCUAAUACAUGCAAGUCGAGCGGAGUUCAUUUGAAAGCUUGCUUUCAAAUGAAUUUAGCGGCGGACGGGUGAGUAACACGUAGGCAACCUGCCCUCAAGACUGGGAUAACUACCGGAAACGGUAGCUAAUACCGGAUAAUUUCUUUCCUCUCCUGAAGAGAGAAUGAAAGGCGGAGCAAUCUGCCACUUGGGGAUGGGCCUGCGGCGCAUUAGCUAGUUGGUGGGGUAACGGCUCACCAAGGCGACGAUGCGUAGCCGACCUGAGAGGGUGAACGGCCACACUGGGACUGAGACACGGCCCAGACUCCUACGGGAGGCAGCAGUAGGGAAUCUUCCGCAAUGGGCGAAAGCCUGACGGAGCAAUGCCGCGUGAGUGAUGAAGGUUUUCGGAUCGUAAAGCUCUGUUGCCAGGGAAGAACGUCCGGUAGAGUAACUGCUACCGGAGUGACGGUACCUGAGAAGAAAGCCCCGGCUAACUACGUG
rnacentral:rRNA from 1 species